UUUGGAUCCUCCUUUAUAUAUUAAAAUUGAAAUGAUACAGAGAAGAUUAGCAUGGCCCCUGUGUAAGGAUGACAUGAAAACUUGUGAAGUUUUAGAUUUUUUG